rnacentral:rRNA from 1 species
UAGGGAAUCUUCCACAAUGGACGCAAGUCUGACGGAGCAACGCCGCGUGAGUGAAGAAGAUCUUCGGAUCGUAAAACUCUGUUGUUAGAGAAGAACACGAGUGAGAGUAACUGUUCAUUCGAUGACGGUAUCUAACCAGCAAGUCACGGCUAACUACGUGCCCG